UCAAAUAUGUAAUGGGGUAUGUCUGGUUAUUAAUGCAUUUUCUAAUACAUUGUACAUUUGGGAGUGUGAUGAAUAUAGUGAAAAGAUGGUUUAGCUUGGUGGUAUCCAUAUUUAGAUGAUUCUGUUCUUGAAUCUUCAUACAAUGAGAAAAGAUAUGUAAGAUUGCCACUUUUUUCUGAGAAAUGCACAUUUAAUUAAGGGACUGUCUAAGUGACACUCUUAUAGGUGUAUUUAGAACUUGUAACUUUCUUUUGAUUGCCCCUGUCUUAUUCCUGAAAAUUCUUUAAUUCAGGGGUAAAAGAGUGUUUCCAAAAAUAAUUUGAAAGUGACUUAUCAUUUUGUCAUUAUUAGAAGUUGUCAUUGUCUUGCACUUUUUUCAAGUACACACGUGAAAUGACAAUAUUUGCCCUCAUUG